rnacentral:rRNA from 1 species
UGAGGAAUAUUGGGCAAUGCCCGCAAGGGUGACCCAGCAACGCCGCGUGGAGGAUGAAUGUCGUAAGAUUGUAAACUCCUGUUAGAGGGGAAGAAUAGUACCGGUUGGACCGGUAUAUGACUGUACCCUCAGAGAAAGCCCCGGCUAACUACGUGCCAGCAGCCGCGGUAAUACGGAGGGGGCUAGCGUUGUUCGGAAUUACUGGGCGUAAAGCGUACGUAGGCGGAUGCGCAAGUUGGGGGUGAAAUCCCGGGGCUUAACCUCGGAAUUGCCCUCAAAACUGCACGUCUUGAGACCGAGAGAGGUAAGGGGAAUUCCUAGUGUAGAGGUGAAAUUCGUAGAUAUUAGGAAGAACACCAGUGGCGAAGGCGCCUUACUGGCUCGGUACUGACGCUGAGGUACGAAAGCGUGGGGAGCAAACA